UACGAAGGGGGCUAGCGUUGUUCGGAUUUACUGGGCGUAAAGCGCACGUAGGCGGUUCGUUAUGUCGGAUGUGAAAGCCCUUGGCUUAACCGAGGAAGUGCAUCCGAAACUGGCGAGCUAGAGUACUAAAGAGGAUCGCGGAAUUCCCGGUGUAGAGGUGAAAUUCGUAGAUAUCGGGAGGAACACCGGUGGCGAAGGCGGCGAUCUGGGUAGAUACUGACGCUGAGGUGCGAAAGCGUGGGGAGCAAACAGGG
rnacentral:rRNA from 1 species